UACGAAGGGGGCUAGCGUUGUUCGGAAUUACUGGGCGUAAAGCGCACGUAGGCGGGUCGUUAAGUCAGGGGUGAAAUCCCAGAGCUCAACUCUGGAACUGCCUUUGAUACUGUCUAUCUUCGAGUUCGGGAGAGGUUGGCGGAAUUCCUAGUGUAGAGGUGAAAUUCGUAGAUAUUAGGACGAACACCAGUGGCGAAGGCGGCCAACUGGCCCGAUACUGACGCUCAUGUGCGAAAACGUGGGGAGCAAACAGG
rnacentral:rRNA from 1 species